rnacentral:pre_miRNA from 1 species
AGCUAUCUGAAUCGGUGCUGAGAUUUUGUCAGACACUAACCCACUAGGACUGAUCAAACUUCCAGUAUGAGUGAAGUC